rnacentral:lncRNA from 1 species
UAAUCACCAAUCAAUUAGACUCCUUCAUUGUUAGUGCACGAUACUCCAUUACAUGUUUUGCACCCAAUCAUGUUUUGCACAUCUUCAUCACUUGCAAUAAAAAUACAUUAGUAAGUUUCUCUAGAAGGUAGCAGUGACCUAUGAUAAAAAAAAAACAUUUGUAACAUGAAUACACAAUAGUUCACUCUCAAUAAGCAUCUUUGUGUGGCUAAGAGUAACACCAUUUGGGAACCUAUACAAUGUAGCAUCCCAUGUUUUUAACUUGUCAUAUCCAUCAUAAACGUGUGUUGACAUAGACUAUGUUGGAUGGGAUGUAAUCCGAACAUGCAUUGGGUGGUUUGAGUGGCUCAAGACACGUGUUAUCAUUCUAUCACAUGCACGUUGUCACAUGUUUAUAACUUGUCAUAUUCACUAGAAAUGUGUGAUGACCUAAACUGUGUGGACAAAAUGUAAACCUGACAUAUAUUGGGUGACUUAGGUGGCUGAGGAAACAUGUCAUAACCCUAUGACAUGCAUAUUGCCAUGUGUUUAUGACCUAGAUACAAAGAAGAUCAAAUGCGAGAUUUAGUGUACAAAAAGUUGUGUAAUUGUGUUUUGAAUUGUGCAUAAAAUUUCUUAUUUGCUAGAAGAGAGCAACUUGUGAGAAUUUGGGUUGUGUGCCUAAUCAUUAUAAAUCCUUCAUAUUGUGAAAUAUACCCUAUGAGCUUUCAUUAUUCUCUCUAAACGAAAGGUUUUCUCAUUACAUUGAGAGGUCUUGAUCUCAAGGGGAGAUUAGGACCGUGUACCUAGAGAGGUUAGAAUACUUGGUGUACCUGGAGAGGUUAAAAUGCUUGGUGUACCUAUAGAGGUUGAAAUACUUAGUGUACCUGCAGAGGUUAGAAUACUUGGUGAACUUGCAAAUGUUGAAAAUACUGUGUGAAAACUUCUCUACAUCUUUUCAAUUGGUGAGACUUUCAUUCUUCAGCUUUACCUGCUGAUGAAAAAGGAAAAAUGCAAAUGAACAUAUUCAAUAUCAUCUUAUUAGAACCCCAUUUUUCCAAACAGCUCAUAAAUUGUAGAUAGAUAUGUAUAUGAAUUCUCAUGGUCCAUGUCAGUAAAUUGAUGAGAGUACUUAUCAAACUAAGGAAUGUUGGUUUCAUCGCCAAUGUCUUAGUAGCACGAGGUAUUGCAAUGUUGGAAAAUUGUUGUAGUCGCUAUUGCAUAGCAUAAUCACCAAGUGUUCUUCUGGGUGACAAUUGUCUUUCUUCAACAAUGUUGCUUUCUUCUUGAAUUGGUUCAAUGUGAUUAGUAGAAGGGUUGAAAAUUCUUCAAUAGCUUAUCUUUGCUAUUCUUUUCUUUUCUUAAUUUAGGGUUUAGGGUUUCUAAAUCCAAAUUUCUAAAUCCAACUAUAGUUGAUCUCUAGAAACUUGUCCUCUUAAUAUCAUAUAUCAUAAACUAGCUCAUGCAAGGAUUAACACAACAAUAAUAAUUUAAAAUACAGAAAAUAUAAUUAAUUUUUAAAAAUAAAAGAAAAAAACUAACAUAAAAACAAAAACAAAAAAAACUAACGAAAAAAAAUUAAAAUAAAAAACUAACAAAAAAAAACAAAUUUAAAAUAAAGAAAAUAUAAAUAUUUUUAAAAAAUAAAAUAAAAAAAUUUAAAAUAAAGAAUAAAAAAAUAAUUUUUAAAAAUAAAAGAAAAAGAAAAAAAUUAAAAUAAAGAAAAAAAUAACUAUGCUUUUAAAUAAAAGAAAAUAAAAAAAUAAUUUUUUAAAAUAAAAAGAAAAACAAAAAAUUAAAAAUAAAGAAAAAAAACUAUUUUUUUUAAAUUAAAAAUAAAGAAAAAAACUAAUUUUUAAAAAUAAAUGAAAAAAAUUAAAAUAAAGAAAAAAACUAAUUUUUAGAAAUGAAAUAAAAAUAAAUACAUAUUUAAAAUUAAAAAAAAUAACUAUUUUUUUUAAAAAAAAUCUCAAUACUUGGUGAGUUAAACUUUAAAAUCUUAAACAAAAAUGGUUGUCCAACAAGGGCGCCAAAAACUUGUUGGGCUAAUUUGACAAGUAUACUAAGUCAAGUAUUUUUAUUUAAGUCAGAUCAUCAAAGAUACUUCUCACUCAAUUCCAAAGAUUUAAAUCAAUAAUAAAAAUUCAAGCUUUAAGCGUAAAAUGAAAAUAAAAAAGAGCAUAAUGUUACAGAUAAAUAUUUCCUCAAAACAUAGGAGUUUGAAAUUAUUACAUUCAAUCCCAAAGAAGAGGAAUUAGUCAUUCCUGCCUCUAGGAGUUCCUCCCUUCUGUUGAGAUUAUUAAAGUCUAAGUUCAAGAGGGGGUGAAUUGAACUUACAAAAUUUUCACAAAGAAUACUAUUUAUCCUCAACACCUUCUUCCUUCCUCUCUGCCUUAUACCCUUAUUUAACCUAAUUAGACUUGGGUUAAGUAACAUUUUUAUUCAUAAUAUAUCUAUUUGUUUCAUCUCUCCUUAAAUUCCUGAAAAUAACACAAAAUUGAGAAUAAAUAAAUUUAUUAAUCUCAAAACUCCAAAAUAUAUUAUUAAAUUCUAAUUUUUCAAAUUAGGGUUGAAUCAUAGUUUAAUCAACAAUUAAAAUCAAUAAUAUCUAACUUUUUACAUGAAAUUUUACUAAAUAAUGGCAAUUAUCAUUUUUAUUAUUUUAUUUUCUUAUAUAUAUACAUAUUGAUCCAUAUCUAAUUAUUUAAAAUUCUUGUUUUAUUUUUUAUUUUAUUUUUAUAUUAUUUAAAAACAUAGUUUUUCAUAAUUCAAAGAAGUAUGUGAAGUAAUAAUAAAAUUAAAAUAAAAGUAAUUAUUAUUUUUAUUUAAUGAGUUUGGAUAAAAGAAAUUUAUCUAUAUGCUUUCUUAUUAUUUUAUACUCUUUGUAUUUGUGUGAAUGGUGGGUAUAGAUUAUUGGCAAGAAAAAAUAUGACAUAUCUUAGUAGUCAUCAUGUUAUGUUAUUCUUGAAAGUGCCAAAGAAUAUGUCAGUUGAGAAAAAUUCAUAAAAUUCAUUACAUUGAGUUAAUGUUAAUAUAUGAGUCUUUGUAUUUGGGAAGUUACAAUUUGAUACAUAUGAAAGGCAAGGAUCAGGUGGGGUAAGGAAGUUACCAAGUAGGUGAUAAUCUGGAU